CCGUCAGUCUUUCCACCAGAUGGUUUCCGGAUGAUAACUCAAUAACGCUUAGGCCUAAGAUCAUGAAACUUCAUAGGUACAUUGAUCAUGACUGGCAGAUGACCUUUAUUGAUUUUCAGGUAACUAGGUCAAAGGUCAAGGUCACAGUUACUCGAAAUAGUAAAAUGGUUUCAGGAUGAUGACUCAAGAAUGCUUAGGCCUAGGAUCAUGAAACUUCAUAGGUACAUUGAUCAUGACUGGCAGAUGACCCCUAUUGAUUUUCAGGUCACUAGGUCAAAGGUCAAGGUCACAGUGACUCGAAACAGUAAAAUGGUUUCCGGAUGAUAACUCAAGAAUGCUUACGCCUAGGAUCAUGAAACUUCAUAGGUACAUUGAUCAUGACUGGCAGAUGACCCUUAUUAAUUUUCAGGUCACUAGGUCAAAGGUCAAGGUCACAGUGACUCGAAACAGUAAAAUGGUUUCCUGAUGAUAACUCAAGAAUAAUUAUGCCUAGGAUCAUGAAACUUCAUAGGUACAUUGAUCAUGACUGGCAGAUG